GUUUGAUCAUGGCUCAGGAUGAACGCUGGCGGUGUGCCUUAAGCAUGCAAGUCGAACGCUCCCGCGAGGGAGAGUGGCAGACGGGUGAGUAACACGUAGGAAUCUACCUCAAAGUGAGGAAUAGCUCGCCGAAAGGCGGGGUAAUACCUCAUGUAAUCGCAAGAUUAAAGACUUCGGUCGCUUUGAGAGGAGCCUGCGCGCUAUCAGCUUGUUGGUAGGGUAAAAGCCUACCAAGGCUAUGACGGCUAACCGAUGUGAGAGCAUGAUCGGUCACAAGGUCACUGAGACACGGGACCUACACCUACGGGUGGCAGCAACUGGGAAUAUUGCGCAAUGGGCGAAAGCCUGACGCAGCGACACCGCGUGUGGGAUGAAGCUCCUCGGAGUGUAAACCACUGUGGCGAGGGAGGAAUUUUGACAGUACCUCGCUAGAAAGCACCUGCUAACCACGUGCCAGAAGCCUCGGUAAUACGUGGGGUGCAAGCGUUAUCCGGAUUUACUGGGCGUAAAGCGUACCGUCGGCGUCCUAAUAAGUUGCUUGUUUAAGCCUGGGGCUCAACUCCAGAAAGGCAAGCAAAACUAUUAGGAUAGAGUUUGCUAGGGGAAGCUAGAAUUCUCGGUGGAGGGGUGAAAUCCGUAGAUAUCGAGAGGAAUGCCAAUCGCGAAGGCAAGCUUCUGGGGCAUAACUAACGCUCAUGGACGACAGCUAGGGUAGCAAAAGGGAUUAGAGACCCCCGUAGUCCUAGCCGUAAACUAUGUCUGCUAGCUAUUCCUCCUUCAUGGGGGAGUAACGUAAGCUAACGCGUUAAGCAGACCGCCUGGGGAGUACGGGCCGCAAGGCUAAAACUCAAAUGAAUUGACGG
rnacentral:rRNA from 1 species